rnacentral:tRNA from 1 species
CGUGGAGUAGCUCAGGUGGUAGAGCUCCCGGCUCCAAACCGGGAAGUCGCGGGUUCGACUCCCGCCUCCAUGU